GCCUUACCUUAUACCUGAAACCAUCCUCAGGAACCAUGUCUACCAGAAAGAUGUACUUGGCACAUUGGAGGAGACCAGACAAACUCACUUUACAGUGUGGGAACAUCCUCCUGAAAGACAGAAGGUUUGGUGAUUAUCAUCUCUGUUCCAAUUUCAUUGAAAGUCUUCCAGAGGUCAGUGUCUUCCAGAGUCAUCCUGAUGCUUCCCUGGAGAUAGGCAUCAGGGCAGGCAGCCAUGGAGGCAGGAGGUGGACCGCUGAAGUUAGACUUCAGCUCUGGAACAAAGACAAAUGAUGUUUUUCGAACCAGGAAAAGUUGUAGCAGCAUAUUGAGGCAAUAUAUGGAGAAGAUAUCAGCUUCUAUCAAGAAAAAUAAGACUGCAGCAUCCAAAAUGUCAUAGGUGAGUGCUACAAAAAUCACAGUACUAAUGUAGACCAUGUAAAACUGCAAUUUGUAAUUUAUUGUUUUUUAUUCAUACAAAGUAUAUGACAUUUUAAUGAAAUACUGGACUGGGAAUCUGUAUCAGACGGUUAACCAUUGCUAAACAACUUUGAUCUGCAUCAGGGACAAAAUAAUCCUUAUUUAGACAUCCCUAUUCCUGAACACCAUGAUUAUGAUUAUUUUAAGCCAGUAUUAAUUAUAAAACAAACUGUCCAGUUACACAACACUUAAUGUAAAAUUUAAGCCUGUGUUGGCAUGCCCCCUCUUUGCUUCUAAGGCCUGUGGUAUUUCUGACCUAGGAAACAAUUAACAGCAAGACAUGGGGAAAAAAUGGGUUCUGAAAGAUGGGAGAACCAGUUUAAGUAAAUCACACGCCAUUCAAAGAAGCCCUAAUGAGGGGAAGGAAAGGCUUCCAGACAGAUCCUGUGGACGAGCUGGUCUUGUAGCAGGUGGUAAGGAGGAAUUGGGGUAAACUUUAUCUCUAGGUACACAUAAUAGGCAGCCUCAUUAGUGUUCAGUUCUGUCCAUGACUUGUAACAAACCAGCAGACAAGCUGCCAAGAACUGAUGAAAGAUAUUUUUUUGUUUGAUAGAAGCAUCCUUUUACAGAGAGCACAUGUCCACUCAGCAGGAAAACUGAGGCAGGCCGAAGCGCUCUGAAGUUACUGACGCGGUGCAGAUGGUGCUCGGGCGGAGAACGGACUAUAAUCAGAAAGCAUGUGGCCCAUAGCUCAGGCCACAUACUCGUGUGUGAAACAAAAACAGAGAUGACAGUAUCAGGAUGGAGCUAAACAAAUGAGAUGGCUCCAGCCACUCCUGCUGGAGGAAAGAUGGAGCUGGGCGACCCUAAUAGGAUUCAAGGAUUUUUAUUGUCAUACCAGCUCACAUUUACAUGUUAAGGAAUGAAAUUCGGACUCAAGUCCCGGUUAAGAAGCCUAAUACUUAAUAAAACUAAGUCUACAGACAACUCCAGAUUGUCAGAUGACAUUUUCAAAGCCAGUGGAGAGGAACCCAACAAAGCCAAAUCCUGGGGAGCUAAGUAGGGACUACAUGUGACGUGAACAGACUGCUUUUCACCGAUUGGCCAUGGGGAGAGAGGAAAUUAGAAGGUUUUCAUUGAGACGGUGCAGGUAAAAGUUAAUAAAACUCAAGAGCAACUGCAAUAAUAUUAAGGACCACGGUGGCCGGAGCAGGUCAAACAUGUAAUUUUACCAUUUACAGAUCAUAAACCAUGCCUGAAGGCUGACAGAAAAGAAAAAGGAUGAAUCACCUUUCUGAAUUACAUGCAGGCACAGUGCUGUAUGUAAUAACACCCUAAACCAGCUGAUCACACAUAAAAUCAGCUGUUCAGAGGUACAAACAUUUCCCCCAAAUCACACAAAACAAAACCACCAUAAAACAACGUGUUUGGUUCGGAAAUUUAUUUACAGUCCUUAAGCGAACCAGCGUCUGCCGGAGGUUCAGCCGUUGGGGGGGUCAGUGGAAACAUAACAGUUACCGUACCAAGUAGAGCGAAAGCAAGUGGAGCAGAGCCGCGUCGACUAAAACGAGCCAGUGGAAAAUGGGCAAAAGUCUUCUGAGAAAAACCACAACUUUUAUUUUAAACUUUCCUAUAAAAAAAAAAUUUGAAUUCUCAGUUCAAAUGGGUUGCUUAGUUAUAAACUGUUGCCCUAAGUUAUGGUCUGGUCUGAGGUCCUUUCAGACAGAUGUCUACAAAAACACUCCUAAGAAAAAUAUGGGACUAAUGCAUGUCUGAUCGGAAUAUUUGUUAUUGUCAAAAUGAUGGAAUCGAGCAGAGUUUUGGGAAGGUUUUACCCUUUCAAUGCACGGAUUAUGAAAAGCCUCUAACAAGAGAAGAACAAGCACGAUGGGGGUGGGGGGGUGCUCAUAUAGAAAGACAUGUCUAAAGCAGGAGAGUUGUUCUUCAUCAGAGUACCAUCCAGCAAAUCUCUUUAGGGAAAGCAGAGCCACGGGUUUACACAGAUUAUGCUGCAACCAAACAGCUAAAGCAGAUUUGUAAGACUUUUACUGCAAUAAUUUUAAGCAUCUUUUCCCUCCCAUAUUCAGUCGGGCAUGGAAAAAUGUUCCCGCUGCUUGAAAAACUGUGACAGCUUUGGCAUGGAUGCAACAACACAUCAUGAGUGAAUCAGAUUCAGAUUAAAAUACAAAGCAAAAAAGAGGAAAGAAUCCUUUUAAGAAUGAGAACUGACUUUUUUUGUAGAUCAUUAAGAUAAACAUUUGAAAUGACGAUGUGCUGCGUUAUUGGCAGCAGAGAACGAGAAAACAUCCCAGCAGUUUAUGACCCAUAUGUAUAAGCUUCUAGGUCAGGCUCACAACAACACUUUCAGUGUGGCUGUUACUGAUUAAAGACCAACAUUUAGCCAUUUUCAUAAACAGUAAGGCAGUUAAAAUCAGGAUAAAGGUAAAACAGAUGUAGGGAGCUAGUUGAAAGAAAACUAGAUUUUCUACAGUAUUCAUAAAAUUAUCAUUGCAAUAUUCAGCAACAGUGUCCCAGUUAGAUAUAUCUUUCUUUUUGGGUCCUCGUCCACUAUGUGAGCCAAAUGAAGUUGAGGCGUUCAACAGGCGUCACAGCUUUCUAACAUCACAGGAAGUGAGCUUUAUAAGACUUAGCUAUUUCUUAGCUAUUUCCGCUGGAGCCGAGAUCGGUUACCAUGCAACGGUGGCACAUACCUGGAGAAUCAGAAGUUCGCAGGUGGCUUUUCCAUCCAUUCUCAAUUACUUGCCAACUUUAUGAGAAGCUUGACAGAGCAACAAAUCUUGCUGGGAUAAGACCAGAAGAUUUACUAUACCAACCGAUGGCAUGUCUGUAGCACGCAACUUAAGUAAGAAAAACCCACAGAGGUUUUCCAAAUAAGAUAAAUUUGUCCUUUUUUUGUUGCGUUCCAGUCAACUGUCAAAGUCCUUCAUUUUUCCCUUUUUGCCAAAGUUGGAGAAGUUAACCGUUGUAGAGUUUGUCACGGACACGUGACGAAUGAAGCUCCCCUUCUUCUACUUGCUGCUCCAAAGAAGACUACACCAAGCAAUCUUCCCUUUUGUCGGUACUGUAGAAAUUGCCUGGGCAGGAUAAAGUAGGAUCCUUGGGGUCAUUUAGAAUCACCAUUCAUUUAACCCAAUGUGUUUUAAAUUGAAUGUUGCAUGUAAUGCUUUGUGGAAGUUAUGCGGAACCGUAUGAUGGCUGUUUAAUAUUGUUGGACUCCGAAAAGCGGCAGCACAGUACAGUUGGAUGCCGGAGCGCUGACUCAGUUGGAGUAUUUUUUAUGCAGAUUGAGGCUACGACCUGAGCCUCAUGUUCGUCUCCAUUGUUCCAUCGUUUACGGGCCUUUGUGUAUUUCCACGGAGUUCCCGCUAUGGGGGUUUUAUGACUGUAUGCUGGAGUAGCUGUUAGCAGGUACAGAACUAAGCGACUCCUGAAGGCGCUGCCUGUGUGGAAACCCAUUGCCUCCCACUGAUCUUUCUUUAUAUAUUCCAAGUGAAUCUGAAGCUUUGAUCCAGUCCCACAGUCCAUAAACUGCUAGUUUAAUCUCCA